rnacentral:rRNA from 1 species
UAUCUCUGUAGAGUCUGCAUAUCAAUAAGCGGAGGAAAAGAAACUAACAUAGGAUUCCCUCAGUAACGGCGAGUGAAGCGGGAAGAGCUCAAAUUUGAAAUCUUCAAGGUUCUACCUUGACGAAUUGUAGUUUAAAGAAGUGUUUUCUGUUGAAGUUUUGGUAAAAGUUCUUUGGAAUAGGACAUCAUAGAGGGUGAGAAUCCCGUAUUUGACCAUUAUUUCCAGCUGUGUGAUACACUUUCAAAGAGUCGGAUUGUUUGGGAAUGCAGUCCAAAAUGGGUGGUAAAUUUCAUCUAAAGCUAAAUAUUGGCGAGAGACCGAUAGCGAACAAGUACCGUGAGGGAAAGAUGAAAAGAACUUUGAAAAGAGAGUUAAACAGUACGUGAAAUUGUCAAAAGGGAAGCGUUUGACACCAGUGUUGUUUUCUCGAAAAUCAAUUAAAAAUGGCUUGAUUUUGUGUUGUAUUGACCUUUAUCAAGCUUUCUUCACUCUUUUCAUUGUCUUUUUUAAUGCACUUUUCGUUUAACAAGUCAACAUCAGUUUCUUUUGUUGUAAAAGGGUCAUUGGAAGGUGGCUUUCUUUUCGAAGAAAGUGUUUAUAGCCUUUGGCCUCUGCAAUCGGAGAGAUUGAGGUCUGCAGCGUAGAUCCUUCGGGGUUAGAUACAUUUGUGCUAAGUUAUAGCCUUUCAUAGACAACUUGUUGACUAUGAUCAGUCAUGUAGCUUACUCGCUUAUGCUAUUUUACCUACGCUAGGAUGUUGAUCUGUAGUGCGUGCGC